rnacentral:tRNA from 1 species
CAAAGUGUAGCUUAUAUAAAGCACCUGGCCUACACCCAGAAGAUUCCAUAUGUAAUGGCCACUUUGA